UACGUAGGGGGCUAGCGUUGUCCGGAAUCAUUGGGCGUAAAGAGCGUGUAGGCGGCCCGGUAAGUCCGCUGUGAAAGUCGGGAGCUCAACCCUGGAAUGCCGGUGGAUACUGUCGGGCUAGAGUGCGGAAGAGGCGAGUGGAAUUCCUGGUGUAGCGGUGAAAUGCGCAGAUAUCAGGAGGAACACCGAUUGCGAAGGCAGCUCGCUGGGACGUCACUGACGCUGAGACGCGAAAGCGUGGGGAGCAAACAGG
rnacentral:rRNA from 1 species